GCUGAAGAAACUGCAAAGCAUGUCCUGCACCCAACAAAAUGUAGUAAGUGUUUAUAAUUCAAAAUCGUUUAAGCAAGAGCACAAGAAAGCCAAUGACUAGGAUCAUAUUAUCAGAAAUAAAACAAGUAUCUACAACAUAUAUGAGGUAAUAUGGUCAAAUGAUGGGAACUAGCUCCAAUUUCCAAGUUGCUAAAAUGGAAAAUCUAACUUGGUUGGAUAUAGCAUUACAACUUUGAAACUAGUAAAUAAUACAUUCAGUGAAUUGAUUGAAUUAGUACCCAAAACCGAAAAGGGGCCAAAAAAAAGCCACCUUUAUUUCUUUAAUCGGAAAUUAAAUUUGAAAAUGUGUAAGAUUUUCCGG
rnacentral:misc_RNA from 1 species